rnacentral:rRNA from 1 species
UUAAGUUAAUAAGGGCGCACGGUGGAUGCCUUGGCACUAGGAGCCGACGAAGGACGUGACAAACGACGAUAUGCCUUGGGUAGCUGUAAGUAAGCGAUGAUCCAGGGAUUUCCGAAUGGGGGAACCCAACAGGUAAUACCUGUUANCCACAUCUGUUAAGGAUGUGAGGAGGAAGACGCAGUGAACUGAAACAUCUAAGUAGCUGCAGGAAGAGAAAGCAAAAGCGAUUGCCUUAGUAGCGGCGAGCGAAACGGCAGAAGGGCAAACCGAAGAGUUUACUCUUCGGGGUUGUAGGACUGCAAUGUGGACUCAAAGAUUAUAGAAGAAUGAUUUGGGAAGAUCAGCCAAAGAGAGUAAUAGCCUCGUAUUUAAAAUAGUCUUUGUACCUAGCAGUAUCCUGAGUACGGCGGGACACGUGAAAUCCCGUCGGAAUCUGGGAGGACCAUCUCCCAACCCUAAAUACUCCCUAGUGACCGAUAGUGAACCAGUACCGUGAGGGAAAGGUGAAAAGCACCCCGGGAGGGGAGUGAAAUAGAACCUGAAACCGUGUGCCUACAACAAGUUCGAGCCCGUUAAUGGGUGAGAGCGUGCCUUUUGUAGAAUGAACCGGCGAGUUACGUUAUGAUGCGAGGUUAAGUUGAAGAGACGGAGCCGUAGGGAAACCGAGUCUGAAUAGGGCGCCUUAGUAUCAUGACGUAGACCCGAAACCAUGUGACCUACCCAUGAGCAGGUUGAAGGUGCGGUAAGACGCACUGGAGGACCGAACCAGGGCACGUUGAAAAGUGCUUGGAUGACUUGUGGGUAGCGGAGAAAUUCCAAACGAACUUGGAGAUAGCUGGUUCUCUCCGAAAUAGCUUUAGGGCUAGCGUCGACAUUAGAGAUUCUUGGAGGUAGAGCACUGUUUGGGUGAGGGGUCCAUCCCGGAUUACCAAUCUCAGAUAAACUCCGAAUGCCAAUGAAUUAUGGUCGGCAGUCAGACUGCGAGUGCUAAGAUCCGUAGUCGAAAGGGAAACAGCCCAGACCACCAGCUAAGGUCCCAAAAUAAUUGUUAAGUGGAAAAGGAUGUGGGGUUGCACAGACAACUAGGAUGUUAGCUUAGAAGCAGCUAUUCAUUCAAAGAGUGCGUAAUAGCUCACUAGUCGAGUGACCCUGCGCCGAAAAUGUACCGGGGCUAAAACAAUUUACCGAAGCUGUGGAUACCUUUAUAGGUAUGGUAGGAGAGCGUUCUAUGUGUGAUGAAGGUAUACCGUGAGGAGUGCUGGAACGCAUAGAAGUGAGAAUGCCGGUAUGAGUAGCGAAAGACAGGUGAGAAUCCUGUCCACCGUAAGACUAAGGUUUCCAGGGGAAGGCUCGUCCGCCCUGGGUUAGUCGGGACCUAAGGAGAGACCGAAAGGUGUAUCCGAUGGACAACAGGUUGAUAUUCCUGUACUAGAGUAUGUAGUGAUGGAGGGACGCAGUAGGCUAACUAAAGCAGACGAUUGGAAGAGUCUGUCUAAGCAGUGAGGUGUGAAUUGAGUCAAAUGCUUAAUUCUAUAACAUUGAGCUGUGAUGGGGAGCGAAGUUUAGUAGCGAAGUUAGUGACGUCACACUGCCAAGAAAAGCUUCUAGCGUUUAAACAUACUCUACCCGUACCGCAAACCGACACAGGUAGUCGAGGCGAGUAGCCUCAGGUGAGCGAGAGAACUCUCGUUAAGGAACUCGGCAAAAUGACCCCGUAACUUCGGGAGAAGGGGUGCUGACUUAAAGUCAGCCGCAGUGAAUAGGCCCAAGCAACUGUUUAUCAAAAACACAGCUCUCUGCUAAAUCGUAAGAUGAUGUAUAGGGGGUGACGCCUGCCCGGUGCUGGAAGGUUAAGAGGAGUGCUUAGCGUAAGCGAAGGUAUGAAUUGAAGCCCCAGUAAACGGCGGCCGUAACUAUAACGGUCCUAAGGUAGCGAAAUUCCUUGUCGGGUAAGUUCCGACCCGCACGAAAGGCGUAAUGAUUUGGGCACUGUCUCAACGAGAGACUCGGUGAAAUUUUAGUACCUGUGAAGAUGCAGGUUACCCGCGACAGGACGGAAAGACCCCAUGGAGCUUUACUGCAGUUUGAUAUUGAGUGUCUGUACCACAUGUACAGGAUAGGUAGGAGUCUAAGAGAUCGGGACGCCAGUUUCGAAGGAGACGCUGUUGGGAUACUACCCUUGUGUUAUGGCCACUCUAACCCAGAUAGGUGAUCCCUAUCGGAGACAGUGUCUGACGGGCAGUUUGACUGGGGCGGUCGCCUCCUAAAAGGUAACGGAGGCGCCCAAAGGUUCCCUCAGAAUGGUUGGAAAUCAUUCGCAGAGUGUAAAGGUAUAAGGGAGCUUGACUGCGAGAGCUACAACUCGAGCAGGGACGAAAGUCGGGCUUAGUGAUCCGGUGGUUCCGUAUGGAAGGGCCAUCGCUCAACGGAUAAAAGCUACCCUGGGGAUAACAGGCUUAUCUCCCCCAAGAGUUCACAUCGACGGGGAGGUUUGGCACCUCGAUGUCGGCUCGUCGCAUCCUGGGGCUGUAGUCGGUCCCAAGGGUUGGGCUGUUCGCCCAUUAAAGCGGCACGCGAGCUGGGUUCAGAACGUCGUGAGACAGUUCGGUCCCUAUCCGUCGCGGGCGUAGGAAAUUUGAGAGGAUCUGCUCCUAGUACGAGAGGACCAGAGUGGACUUACCGCUGGUGUACCAGUUGUCUUGCCAAAGGCAUCGCUGGGUAGCUAUGUAGGGAAGGGAUAAACGCUGAAAGCAUCUAAGUGUGAAACCCACCUCAAGAUGAGAUUUCCCAUGAUUAUAUAUCAGUAAGAGCCCUGAGAGAUGAUCAGGUAGAUAGGUUAGAAGUGGAAGUGUGGCGACACAUGUAGCGGACUAAUACUAAUAGCUCGAGGACUUAUCCAA